UUAAAAACUAAAUUAUAUGCUGAGCAAUCAGUUUGUAGCGCAAAAACUGGUAUUGAUCAAUAAGUUGGUAAGUUAAAAAUAACGAAAAAUUUAAAAAUAGUAAAAUUUUUAAUUAAUUCUUUUAUUUGAAUUUCAGAAAAACCAAAUGACGUUAUUCGAUGUAGAGGAUGAGAAUAAUAUUCAAUCGUAUAGUAAAAAAGUAUAUAUUGAAAAAGUUAAAUAUGACUGGGAAAAAAAACGGAAAUUUUAAGGAAGAGAUAAUCAAAACAACAAAUCAUGAGAUUAAUUUUAGAAGAAUAUGAUUUUAAUCAAUCAAUCCCAGAAUAUUCAGCUAUUUGUAAAAUUAUCUCUGCUAAUGUUUAUUUAAAAGCAAUUAAAUUAAUGCAGUGUCUUUCGAAAUAAUAAAUAACGAUGGAAAUAGUGCAAUUUCUUUAAACUAUCAAAUAAAAAAGAUUUAUCCAUAAUAAUUACGAUCCAAAUAUUUACUUUUUAUUUUAAUCAUAAAAAAAUAUUUAAAGAAUUAAU